UCACCUCGGCUGGCUCCUGUCCUGCGCUCCCACCCUGCAGACAAAAACGAGCACACACGAGCAGCUCCGAGCAGACGCGGCGAGGAUUCAUUCGUUCAACAGCAGAGGAGGAGGAGGAAGAGAGCGAGCGGCUCCGGUCCCAACCAUAUCCCAUGGCGCUGUUCGCCGUCCUCCGCGCAUCUCCGGUGGCUGCCGCCGCGGCGCCGUCCUUCUCCUGCAUGUCCGGCCGUGCAGCGUCUUCGCUGCGCGUCACCUCCGGCAAGAGGCGCGCCGUCUCCUCCAGGGCGGCCGCCCGGCCGCUGUCCAUCCGGUGCGAGCAGAGCGCGAAGCAGGGCGGCGGCGGCUCCGACGUGUGGCUGGGCCGCGCCGCCAUGGUCGGCUUCGCCUCGGCGAUCUCCGUCGAGGUGGCCACCGGCAAAGGCUUCCUCCAGAACUUCGGCGUGGCGACGCCGGCGCCGACGCUGGCGCUGGUCGUGUCGGGGCUCGUCGUCGGCCUCGCCCUCUUCUUCCUGCUCCAGUCCGGCUCGCGAGACUGAACGCCGGUGGACGAGCAAUCGAACAUCUGCAGGGUUCAGUGCUGAAGGUUCGUCAGAGGCUGCUCUGCAAACGCAUCUAGUUUGUCCCUGGUUCACUGCAUAGCAUUCUUCUUCCCCCCUGCAGCAUGCUUUUUCCAUGAUCCUGCUCCGCAGUGGCUGCACCCGACAAAUUCAGGACGACGUUCUGAAUGUCAUGCAACUGACGAAAACCGUGACCUGGUGGCCGGCAACUUUCUUGCUCGUCAGCUUCCCUAUCUGCCCUUGUACGAGCUGGACAUUCCUUCAAGUCUGUAUAAGUAGUACUACACGGAUACCUGCAGCUCCAUGGCUUGUACGACCGUACUGCAUCUGAUGAUGUGCUAUCUGACGGAGGAGGGACAGCGUUAGGUGGAACCGAUCGAUCAUGGAUGAUUGGAUGUCAUAGGAACGGUAGUAUUGCUUGCAGAUUCCCCAGAAAAAAAAGGAGACAAGAUGAGACUCCCUGUCACUGAAAUAUCAAUUUUGCUUGUGUGAGUAUUUUCCAAAUGUGCAGUGAUUCAGCAUGAUAUCAGUUCCUUUGAGUAGGGGACUUUGCUCGAGUUACUUACUAUUAGAUGGACAAGAUAACAAUAAUGCUGUGAUCCUGAUGCAGCAGGUGCUUAUAUAUAGCAAAGUGGACCAA